UACGUAGGGGGCAAGCGUUGUCCGGAAUUAUUGGGCGUAAAGAGCGUGUAGGCGGUCCGGUAAGUCGGCUGUGAAAGUCCAGGGCUCAACCCUGGGAUGCCGGUCGAUACUGCCGAGCUUGAGUCCGGUAGGGGAGUGCGGAAUUCCCGGUGUAGCGGUGAAAUGCGCAGAUAUCGGGAGGAACACCCGUAGCGAAGGCGGCACUCUGGGCCGGUACUGACGCUGAGGAGCGAAAGCGUGGGGAGCAAACAGG
rnacentral:rRNA from 1 species